GAACGGUAGCACAGAGAGCUUGCUCUCGGGUGACGAGUGGCGGACGGGUGAGUAAUGUCUGGGAAACUGCCCGAUGGAGGGGGAUAACUACUGGAAACGGUAGCUAAUACCGCAUAACGUCUUCGGACCAAAGUGGGGGACCUUCGGGCCUCACACCAUCGGAUGUGCCCAGAUGGGAUUAGCUAGUAGGUGGGGUAAUGGCUCACCUAGGCGACGAUCCCUAGCUGGUCUGAGAGGAUGACCAGCCACACUGGAACUGAGACACGGUCCAGACUCCUACGGGAGGCAGCAGUGGGGAAUAUUGCACAAUGGGCGCAAGCCUGAUGCAGCCAUGCCGCGUGUAUGAAGAAGGCCUUCGGAUUGUAAAGUACUUUCAGCGGGGAGGAAGGCGAUGAGGUUAAUAACCUUAUCGAUUGACGUUACCCGCAGAAGAAGCACCGGCUAACUCCGUG
rnacentral:rRNA from 1 species